UGAUAUAGUUGGUUAGUCAAAAGUUGAUUUAUAGUACAGAUAAUUGUAGAGAUGAAUUUGUUGAAAUGUUAUGUGAUCGGUUAGUUUAUAUGGAUUAAUAGCGUGGAUAGUUGUAUGGUUUGAAUAAUAGUUACAUUGAUAAGUGUAUAGUCUUUGGUGGGUUUUUGAUUUAAUUUUGUGUGUGCGACGUCGUGAUAUUGUUGAGCAUGUGAGGAUCCUGUGUGUGUGUGUUUGGGCCUAGUGACUGCGCAAUGUGUUGCUGGUGAUAAGGAGAUUGGUGUGACUGUUGAAACUGUG